GCUAGAGGUGUCAGAAAAG
rnacentral:snRNA from 1 species